rnacentral:rRNA from 1 species
UGGGGAACCUUGCACAAUGGGGGCAACCCUGAUGCAGCGACGCCGCGUGAGCGAUGAAGCCCUUCGGGGCGUAAAGCUCUUUCGACCGGAACGAUAAUGACGGUACCGGGAGAAGAAGCUGCGGCUAACUACGUGCCAGCAGCCGCGGUAAUACGUAGGCAGCAAGCGUUGUUCGGAGUUACUGGGCGUAAAGAGUGCGUAGGCGGUUUUCUAAGUUCGGUGUGAAAUCUCCCGGCUUAACUGGGAGGGUGCGCCGAAGACUGGGAAGCUGGAGUGUGGGAAAGGCAGGCGGAAUUCCUGGUGUAGCGGUGAAAUGCGUAGAUAUCAGGAGGAACACCGGCGGUGUAGACGGCUUGCUAGACCAUAACUGACGCUGAGGCACGAAAGCGUGGGUAGCAAACA